ensembl:lncRNA
GCCCCAGUGGGAAGUCAGCUUGAAAAGGUUACAGAGGCUGCAGUGGGGACCCAAAGUCUGGGGGCCAAAUGGAGAGAUUUAUAUUUUGUGUUGACUGUGGCUCCUGUAGCUGCAAGUGUUGGUGAUACAGGCACUUGGAGUUGGGAUGAUGUGCUGUGUAGCUCUCUGAGUACUGCUCUCAGGAGCUGCUUGGGGAAGGGUACGAGAGUGCGGCAAGCGUGGAGUGAUGUUUUCUCAGAGCAGCCUUUUAGCCUCAAGCCAUCUGAAGUUCACAGGUUUCCUGAACCGAAGACGGAAUCUCAGCAGCAAGGAAAUCAUUUCAAGCGUUUCCAGGACUUUGAAAGAAGCAGGAGUUCACUGAGAGGGGAAAACUGCCUGCAGGGCGAGCUUUGUGCGUUUCAUCCACCCGCGGAAUACGUUUCCAGGAGGAAAAACUGCAGCAGAACGAGCCCAAACGCCGCCCGCUCGGCAAGCUAAACGCGGAUCUCGCAAAAUCAUCUCUCGAUGAAGAUUUUUUCACUAAAACCAUGGGAGAAGUUGGGAUUUUCUUUGGUUCGACCCCAAUAGGCAUUCACUGCUGUUUAUCAGACCUUCACGCUGGGCAGGUGUAGCCAUCACAGAACAAGCACACAGUGUGGCAGCACAUGGGAGCACUCUGGAGCAGUGCUCCUGAGCUGGGCAGGUCCUGCCUCCUUCUCCAUCCUCACCACGACCACCUCCAAUGCACAGAGGAGCCCUGGGAUGGGGUGACACAGCCUGUCCUUGCCCUUCUGUUGGUGGUCAGAGGGUCGUGCAAAUUUAGGAUCGAACAAAGCUGUCCAUUAGGAGUCCUCCUGCCUCCACAAGCCGUGCUCUGUGUAGGAUAGAUGCAGUUCUCCUCCAGGCUCAGAUGGAUGCAGCCCAGGAAUCGCCCAAGAGACAAUAAAACAAACGUGAGACAAAGCAUUCAUUUACACCGCUUUAUUUCUGUAGUGGUCAGAGAAACUGGGAUGGACCAUUGUUAAAGAUCACUAUUUCCUGCGCUGCAAUAAAUGUCUCAUCUUCCCUGAUGCUUGUUUAUUUUAUAAAUGUCUCUGCUUUGGCUUUCAUAUUUAGCUACCAGCAGGACACCAUUAUUCCCUGACAGCAUUCUGUUCCUUCUCCAUUGUCAUUACGGCCAAAGCGAUGCUAUAUUGCUGUGUCUGGCCGGGAUGGUGGGGCUUUCUUACCUUGCUUUUCCCAUUGCUUUUCCAAGCUGAACUCCCAGAGAGGCACAGCACAUAGGUGGCAAUGCUAAAAAAGCAGUGCUUUCUUAAAGCGCUAGCAGUGCUGCUUUUCACUUCAAAAAGCAAAACAAAAACCCACCAUCCUUUAUUAUGAUUUUUCCAAGCACCAUGGGAAGAAGCCAGGUUUACGCACACGGGCUGUGCCUGCAUUGCAGCCCUGAGGCUGAAGGCACUGAGCAGAGGGUUGGGGGGUGCAGGAGGAGAUGCUCUGGGAUGUGGGCAGCAGCAGAGCCCCAUGGGCAGGGAAGCAGUGACCCUGAGGGCAGCACCCUGACCCUAUACCCGUGCGGUGUGAUGGGGACCUGCCCAUCUGCACAUGGGAGUAGAUCCGAGUGCCUGUGUAGCACAGCAAGAUUAGCAGUGUAGGGCCUGCUGUAAAGAUCCUUGAAGUCCAUGAGAGCAUUUCCGUUGAUUUCAAAGGCUCUGGAUUACACUCUUUAACAUCCACAAAUGAAAGAUACUGUAUUAGAGCAAACCGUUAUUAUUUAGGGCCACACUGCCCAUCUGUUGUGCUGCUCUCAGGGCAUCACCAGCAGACCAGCAAAACCAGCAGAGCCCCAUUAUGUACUGCUCUGCCUCUCCUUUAGACUGCUGAAAUCUAAUAACCCACCUAACUCUCAUGGCCCUCAGAAACACACACUGCAUUCCCUUCAACGUGGCCGUGUCUCUCUGCUUUUUUUCCUUGACAAAAUUCCCACGUGGAGGUAUCAGGGCUUUCCUACAGCUCUAUUUCAUUUACAAAAUAAGUGGAUCGUUAUUUUCCUUAAGAACCAAACUUCAGCCAUAAGUAAUUUCUAGAGAUGUGUCAAGUGGCUCAGCAAAAACGUUAAUCUUGAUCUAUUGGUUUGUUAGAUAUGUUUACAUCCAAUCAGUUAGCUCUCCUUAAACAAAAGUGAUUUAAAGCCCUUUCUGGAGAGCAUGAAAAUGAUUCCCCUGGCACUCAGGGCCAUAAUCCAACAAAAGCAGGCUUAUCUUUAAGCAUAUGAGUAGUCCUGCCAAAGUCAAUGGGGCUCCAGAUGUGUUUAAAGAUAAACACACACUUGAGUGCUUCGCUGUGUUGGAACUCUGAAUGUUUUAUUUGCAUUUCAUUUCCAUAACAGACUUUCAUGUAUAUUGAAAUCUGUAUGCAGCAGAAGGGGAUUGUUGCUGGGUGCUACAUUGAAAUAUGAUUUUUAAGAAUAUGGGAAGAAAAUCCCCGGGUCAAGCAUAUGUCUUUUAAUGAUUGAAAUUAGUUAUUUGAACUACGAGUCCAUAUUUGAAUUGAUUUAUUUUGGGCUUGUAGCAGAAAUGCUAAGUGAUGGCUUGACCCAGUGAUUGAGCACCUGGUGGGAAGGCAGGGCCAACCCAGGGGAGCUCAGGUGCACGCAAUGCAAUGCAAUGCAAUGCACCUGAGUGAGCAGAGGGGUGAAGCCAGGAUCCACCCCUUCUCAGACCUCAUUUAAGGGUUGGCUGUGAAGGUGAGGGUGUUUUGCUGAACAUCCUUGCCUACCUGAAGCCUUCCGAAGAGUGUUGGUAGGAGCUUUGCUGAAGCAUUCCUUUGGGCACCCACCUUCAGAAUAAAUCUUCGCGGUUUAAAAUCGAAGUGCUGAAAGAGUACAUGCUGGGUCUGCUCCCCUGACCGUGUCACCUUAGCAAACUUCUCCUCGUGAGCUGUUUAAACCUUCGAGCUUGCUUGUAUUUGCUAUGGGAAUGAAUAGGAUUGCAGGAGCUUUAGCACGCAGCAGAGACUCGUGGGCUAGCAGCUUUUGAGGUUAUACCCAUGAGUGCUCGAGCAGAGCUGGUGCAGCUAAUUCCUCUGUCUGCAGAGGGUGAAGCGAAGGCAGAGGGAGGCUGAGUGUUCAGUGCUGAUGGUCACAGAGGGAGCCAGAGACACGGCCAAGGCUGAAUCCGAAGGCUCUCAAUGUGCAGUCAGAGAACAAACAGUAUUUCCUCUUAAUUCGCCGUUUUCCCUCAUGAAAAGAAUCACGUCUCAUGGCUUUCUCUCCCCAUUGUUCCGAUGACUCACAUAAGCCACGGGCAUGAUACAGGCAAUGAAGCUUUGCAUUAAUCUACUGUCCAGAUUGAUAACUCUAAGGAGCAUCUCAUAAUGACCAAAAUGUGAUUAAUCAUGAUACACGUGUGAUACCCAUGCUCAUUAUUACUGGCCUCCAGAACAGUGCUGCUGAUUCCUGCCAAUAUGCUCAGUUUCGUAUCUGGAAGAGACAAUACUGUAAUUACUGCCAAAGUAUGCAGGAAAAUUAAGCAGCAGCUCGGUCUGCGUUCUGCAUCGGGCUAGCAGAAAGGACUAUAGAAAAGCAUGGGAAUCAACAGCCACAAGGAAUAACAAAUAUUUUCUGUGUGUACUUCAUUUUAAAUAGAUGUUGUCUGACGCAGCCAUUUAGUUUGAACUGUUGCCUUGCAGAAUUCUUUCUGGAAGAGGAAAGUGUAGGGCAUGGUGGACACAGCAACUGGAGGAAAAAAAGAAAGGAGCUGAUGAAGCGUAUUUGGAAAAGGAUCUGUCCCUCUAUGAUGUCAACACAUUUUUCUGCAGAGCUCUUUGUAUGAUGUUGCCUACCUGUAAGACAAAUUGUCUUUGUCUCGCCGUUAGAGUUCUUGUGCACCUGCGUCGAUAACUUCAUGUAGAAUACACCAAGAGAUAGCUUUUAUAUCAUGGCAUGGGGACCCACGUGCCAGUGGUCCACACAGUAGGGUGUAUAUGUUGAAAUUGACAGAUAUGGCCAUUUCCUCCCUAGGAGUGACUAAUGCCAGAGGGCAACGGUAGUUCAUUAUGCCAUGCACUGUGUCAGGGAGGUGCCCCAAGCUUAUGGUGGCCAGAAUCCCUACGAGUGAAGAACUUUUUGGUGAAUCUCCUGCUUUGUGAAGAUUGUCUUCUCAGCUGACGGACGGAAACAUCCUGACUCAGGGAAACACAAUAAUGAGGGAUUUGUGUUUCCCCUUCGUUUGCCUUUUGCAGUGCCCAGGGGUUGGAUGUGCAGGAGCAAGUCCUUGGCCCUUCUACAUGAUGUAAAUCUACCAUAUUCUCUGUUUGUUGAAAGCAACCAGGAAGGUAUUCAGGGCCCAAGAUUCCAGUUUAGGAAGUUGUAGCAAUGAUGGGCAUCUUCCCUACUCAUUGUUUGAAAGAUUGUGAUAACAGCAACAGAAAUAAUGGCAGUCAAUGAGAAAUGAAGUUCUUAGUUCUUCUGUGCAUCAGAAUACACUGCAAGCUGAUAAGCUGUGUAUGGAAAGCAUCACAGUAGUCUGUGUAGCAAAGUACAGCCAGGGAGUACACGUGCAGUGUGCUGAGGCAUUUUUAAGCAAUAUUUAAGAGGAAAAGAGGUAACCCCUAAUCUGCUUAUCCAGUGGUGCGUGGGUAAGCGUGCUGACGCUGAGGAUGUCCCUGGAGCUAUGGCAGUAAGAAGGGAAAGCAGGGAACCUCAUUCCAGGUUAUGAAAGAACAUAAUAUGCAGGAGUGUUUUAUGUAAGUCUACGAGGGGGGAAAAUGGAUGAAAAUAGGGGAAUGGAGUUGUAGUGACUGUUACACCUGCAGAAGAAGUUGACUUUAGAGGUGGUCAUAAUGUGAAUUUCCUGUGUGUGCUGUGUUUGUAAUGUGUGAAAACAAAUUUAACUCAUCAGGUGGGAAAGUUCUUACAGAACUGAUGUCUGUGGACAGAAAGGAGUUUGUAACACAGUUAAGAUGCUGCAUGUACAGAACAAAAUUUCCCUGGACUUCACUGGGCUUUGGAUCAGACCUUCCUUCUGAAUUAAAAGAGUAUCACAUAAAUACAGUAUUCGUUUUGCAGAUAUUCUGCUUCAAACAGAGUAACUGAGUUCAGCCACUCUGCUUUUAUUAUUAUGACAAAUAUCUCCACAUUAGCAUAAGGGAAAACAAGGGGUGAAAUGCCAGGCGUGCUCCCACGCAUCUGAACCAACAGAAUUGCUCUCUGCAUUUUGCAGACCUUCUGCAUGAAUCAUUAUGCCCAUUCUGUGUAAUAAAUAAUAAUAAUAAUAAUUUGUGAUGUAAAAAGUGCUCUCAAGAGAACUUUGUUUUAUUUAGCAUUUAAUAAAUGUAUUCAGCAAGGACUGCCUUGCCUAUACACGUAUAUGCUAUAUCCGUAUUUGUGUGCCUCGUGCAGCAAAGCUGCUACCUGCUAAACACAGAUCUAUACUUCGGCCACGUGAGAAUGCCCCACUCAUCAGCUCCACUUGUUGCACCUCUCCUGGGAUGGCCAAAUCUCUCACAAAUGUGCAGUUUUAUGAGCAUCCCUCGGCACGACAGGCGUCACACAGCACUGCAAAUUCAUGAACGAAACGAACUCACUCCAUCCUCUCUCUGGAUCUGCAUGGAGCCUCUCACAAUGGGGCUGUGAUUUAUUUGGGGCCUCUGGGUAUGACUGCCAUACAAGUAGUAACUAAUGACAACAGACCACCAGAGAUUGCUGAGAUUUGCUUGCAGUAAGGAAAAAUAAACUGGUCCGUAGCACGGACAUUGCACAUCUGGUUAUGUGCAUAAACAGGGCUGAUUAAAAUCUUGGG